rnacentral:lncRNA from 1 species
AAAAUACAUAACUCCUUCAUGCCAAAUCCAAAUGAGGUCAAAGUUGUGACAAAAUUGAAUAGGUUUGAAAGAGGUACAACUUUGAUGAAAGAACUUUUCUCAUUUGAAGUCCAUAGAAAAAUUUAUUCAUGGUGGAAGAAGUGAACAUUUGACUUGGGACUUAGAAAUUUUUCAAAUAUGUUUGAUUUACCAAACUUCCACCUAAACAUUCAUCAUGAUCCAAGCUUAAAAUGAAAAAGUGUUCAACAUGAAAUUUGUUCCCCUUGAUCUCAC